UAGAGCUUGAUCAUGGCUCAGAUUGAACGCUGGCGGCAGGCCUAACACAUGCAAGUCGAGCGGUAGAGAGAAGCUUGCUUCUCUUGAGAGCGGCGGACGGGUGAGUAAUGCCUAGGAAUCUGCCUGGUAGUGGGGGAUAACGUUCGGAAACGGACGCUAAUACCGCAUACGUCCUACGGGAGAAAGCAGGGGACCUUCGGGCCUUGCGCUAUCAGAUGAGCCUAGGUCGGAUUAGCUAGUUGGUGAGGUAAUGGCUCACCAAGGCGACGAUCCGUAACUGGUCUGAGAGGAUGAUCAGUCACACUGGAACUGAGACACGGUCCAGACUCCUACGGGAGGCAGCAGUGGGGAAUAUUGGACAAUGGGCGAAAGCCUGAUCCAGCCAUGCCGCGUGUGUGAAGAAGGUCUUCGGAUUGUAAAGCACUUUAAGUUGGGAGGAAGGGCCAUUACCUAAUACGUGAUGGUUUGACGUACCGACAG
rnacentral:rRNA from 1 species